GAUCAUGGCUCAGGAUGAACGCUGGCGGCGUGCUUAACACAUGCAAGUCGAACGAAGCUGCCUGGAGGAAGUUUUCGGAUGGAAUUUAGGUAGACUUAGUGGCGGACGGGUGAGUAACGCGUGGAUAACCUGCCUUAUACAGGGGGAUAACGGAGAGAAAUUUCCGCUAACACCGCAUAAGACCACAGCACCGCAUGGUGCAGGGGUAAAAUAUUUAUAGGGUAUAAGAUGGAUCCGCGUCCGAUUAG
rnacentral:rRNA from 1 species